rnacentral:rRNA from 1 species
UACGUAGGGGGCAAGCGUUGUCCGGAUUUAUUGGGCGUAAAGAGCUUGUAGGCGGUUUGUCGCGUCUGCUGUGAAAUUCCAGGGCUUAACCCUGGGCUUGCAGUGGGUACGGGCAGACUAGAGUGUGGUAGGGGAGACUGGAAUUCCUGGUGUAGCGGUGAAAUGCGCAGAUAUCAGGAGGAACACCGAUGGCGAAGGCAGGUCUCUGGGCCACUACUGACGCUGAGAAGCGAAAGCAUGGGGAGCGAACAGG